CUGCUGCCUUCCGUAGGAGUCUGGGCCGUGUCUCAGUCCCAAUGUGGCCGGUCACCCUCUCAGGUCGGCUACUGAUCGUCGGCUUGGUGGGCCGUUACCCCGCCAACUACCUAAUCAGACGCGGGCCCAUCUUACACCACCGGAGUUUUUACCGCUGUACCAUGCGGUACUGCGGUCUUAUGCGGUAUUAGCAGUCAUUUCUAACUGUUAUCCCCCUGUGUAAGGCAGGUUGCCCACGCGUUACUCACCCGUCCGCCGCUCAGU
rnacentral:rRNA from 1 species